UGGGCUGUAGCUCAGCGGGGGAGCGCUUGACUCACAUUCAAGAGGCCGGAGGUUCGAUACCUCUCAGCCCCACCA
rnacentral:tRNA from 1 species